rnacentral:lncRNA from 1 species
GAACUUGUAGUUUUCUUUUGGUACUUCUUCCAUUUUCUCUAGGAAGCCUUCAUUUUGAUAGACAAUCUGGCAUUCAGAAGGAGGAUUUCCAAGGAAAAAAGGAAGUCUGUGGUAAUAAUGCUAGACCAGAGGAAGGGGUAAGAGUGUUUCAUGAAUCAGGUUAAAAUGUGAAGCGUAUGCUGAUGACAUCAGUGUGGGCAAGAUCCUUGUGCCAUGGGUUCAUUAUCACCAUACACAGCCUCUGUCCAAGGUCAAAAAUGAGACUAUCUUACUCCUCCAAAAAUUAAGAAAGGACUAUUAUCUUGAGCAAUGGGACAAUUCCAUAGGUUACCACAGUAAAAUUCAUACCUAUACCUCUAUAUUUAGAAACUGUUCCUUCAUCAUUCUGAGCAAUGCGGGUGGGGGGUACUGACUCCAAAUGUGAGAAAUACUCAUGUAAUGGCCCAUUGCCCUGGUGGAUUUCUUGACCUUUAAUAUUCAGCCUCUCUGUCUCCAUGCACUUUCUUUUCUCCUGUCUGCACAUAAUGCAGAUAUGGUAGAUUUAGAAGGUGGCACUUGAGGAGACACAAAAUUUGGAAGAAAAAAGAUAAACUGUGCAGUUGAAUGUUGCCCAGAAGCAGGGAAAGGCAUGCAGCCAAAUUCCCCCAGUGCCUUGUGUCAUCAUGUGACGUUGCUUGGAUAUCAGCUUAUCAACAGACUGAAUUUCUACCGCCACCAACACACGAAGAAAGAGAUCUUGCAAGGAAACUACUUUGAACAUGAGUACCAGCUUUUAAAAAGGGGGAGAUUAAAAUACAGGAUUCCAAACCCUAAACUAUACAGUAAGGAAAAAAGACUUACUCAUAGCAAGUGUGGCUCCUUCCUUUUGUCAGGUAAGUGGCAAGAAAUACAACUAAGUUUAACAGUUUCUUUAUAGUACAUUGCUGUAAAAUUGCAAAUUGAAAUGUGCAAGAAAUGGAGAAUAAUGUAAAGAAAUAUUAUACUGUCACUAAAAAUCAUAUUUUUUAAGGGAUAUUCAAU